rnacentral:rRNA from 1 species
GGUAAUUCUAGAGCUAAUACAUGCUGAAGGCCCCGACUUCGGAAGGGGCGCAUUUGUCAGAAUCAGAACCAAUGCCCUCCGGGGCUCCUUGGUGGCUCAUGACAACUCCACAGAUCGCACGGCCUUGCGCCGGCGAUGGCUCAUUCAAAUUUCUUCCCUAUCAACUUUCGACGGUACGGUCUUGGCCUACCGUGGUUGUAACGGGUGACGGAGAGUUAGGGCUCGACUCCGGAGACAGCGCCUGAGAAAUGGCGAUGACAUCCAAGGAAGGCAGCAGGCGCGCAAAUUAUCCAAUCCCGACACGGGGAGAUAGUGACAAUAAAUACCGAUACAGGGCUCUUUUGGGCCCCGUAAUUGGAAUGAGUACAAUUUAAACCUCUUAACGAGGAACAAUUGGAGGGCAAGUCUGGUGCCAGCAGCCGCGGUAAUUCCAGCUCCAAUAGCGUAUAUUAAAGUUGUUGUGGUUAAAAAGCUCGUAGUCGAACCUCGGGCUCGGCCGGCCGGUCCGCCUCACCGCGUGCACUGGCCCGGCCGGGCCCUUCCCUCUGCGGAACCGCAUGCCCUUCACUGGGCGUGUCGGGGAGGCAGGACUUUUACUUUGAAAAAAUUAGAGUGCUCAAGGCAGGCCAAUGCUCGGAUACAUUAGCAUGGAAUAAUGGAAUAGGACGUUGGUUCUAUUUUGUUGGUUUCUAGGACCGCCGUAAUGAUCAAUAGGGACGGUCGGGGGCAUCAGUAUUCGGCCGCGAGAGGUGAAAUUCUUAGACCGGCCGAAGACUACCUACUGCGAAAGCAUUUGCCAAGGACGUUUUCGCUGAUCAGGAACGAAAGUUAGGGGAUCGAAGACGAUCAGAUACCGUCGUAGUCUUAACCAUAAACGGUGCCGACUCGGGAUCGGGCGCUGUUCUCUAUAGACGC